rnacentral:ncRNA from 1 species
GUUCAUAUUCAGUGUGGGCGUUAGAGUAUUGAGAGGACUUUUCCCUAGCACGAGAGGAUUGGGAAGGAUGCACCUCUGAUGUACCAAUAUCGUGCCUACGGUAAACACCGGGUAACCAAGUGUGAUAAUUGCUGAAAGUAUAUCUAAGUAGUAAGUUCACAUCAAGAUGAGUCCUCUCCUAUUCUAACUUUCCCAA